ensembl:lncRNA
AGAAUCAUCAUCAUUCCCAUUUUAUGGAGGAGAAAACUGAAUCACAGAGUCGCCCUUGGCCACACAACUAGCAAGCCUGUCUCCAGAGUCUAUACUCCUAACUUCUAGGUUCCCUUACAGAGCUUGGAGUCCAUCAGAUUUUGGUGCAAAGACUCACUCUGCUACUUAGUAGGCACUGAGCUGCCCCAUCCACGUGUGUCAGAGGUUCCCUGCCCAGAGUUCCCAGGAGCCUCGGAGUCCAAAGUCCCUCGUUGCUGGUGACGACGGUUCCCUGCCUGUGCUUCCAGCACGCGAUCCCGACACCAAACGGCGCAGGCCUUUCCCAUUUGUUAGCGGCUCAAGUCUCUGUCCAGAUGACCAGGAGCCGCUGACUCCAGACUGCCCACCAGGCUCUGGUUCUGCAUGCGCUUAACAGCCAACUGGGACGGACAGCUCCAGUCCCCGUGUCCCUCACCCGUGUGGCCUUUAUCAGACCUUCGCAGCCCUAGCACCAAGUCCUACCCCAAACCCUCAGCUGCCCACCCUGCAACACUGACCAAACCCUGAGUCCAGCCAUCUGGCCCUCAGAAACUGUCCCCGGCUCCAGGCCAAGCUGCCUUACAGAUGGGCCCUGGGUUCCCUAGGAAACUGCAGGCUGAACUGGCUGUCAGUGGAGGGUUUCGGCCGUGUGGUUGGCCACCUGGGCAGAAGCCUUGCAAACUGCCUUCUUACCUGGUACUUCCCCUUCCUGAGCUCCAAACUCAACCCUUUCUGAGUCACCUGGGCCUUGGACACCUGUCCCUUUGGAGUCAUUUACAUCUUAGAAACCCAGGCCUUCUAAAUCGCAGUCACCUUGGAUAUCAGAUGAGUGCCCUGCCUCACUUCAGUCUUCUGGAUUCUCAAAUAUUUCAGCUGGUUCUUGGUGUUCCUCCUGCAUAUCCUAGGCCUGUGAGGGCUGGACUCCAAGAACUGGCCACGCCGUUCCUAAAACCAAGUCUCUGAGUCGCCAGAGCCUUGGUUACUUGCCCAGAUCAACAAAACCCAGAAGCAGGGUCAGCGUCCGGCCUUCACUCACCCCUCCGCUCAUGCAUCCACUUCUCCUGUCAACGAGGGUUCACGGAGCAGGUGCUUUGGAGCCACAGCACGUGCCAGUCGCCCAGCAAGGAAUGGCAAAACAUGCUUCCCGGACUGCAGAUGCUCACAGCCCAGGGGAAGGUGUCCAAGGCGAUCUAACCCAUUUCAGCCCCACUGAACCGUGUCACAGUGAGUUGGGCAAGUUCCACGUACCAGGUGAGCACUCGGGAAAGGCAUCUAACGCGUGCAGGGACUGUCUUCUUCAGACAGUGAGUGAUAUGGAGUCUAGGCUAAAUCCUGAAUGGCAGGGGUUCCAGUGGGGACGGCACUCCGGAUGUCCCGUGUAAAAACCCAAAGAGAGCACGACUCAGAAGGAGGAAUGGAAAACAUCGCAUGACGGGUGUCACGGGAGAGGGCUGCAGGGCCUGACCGUAUCGAAGUUGGUUGCUACCCUGAGGGUGAUGGGAAGCCACAGAGGGAGUCUGAGUGGCACCCACCCCACCUGCUCUGCUCUUCACGACCAAGAGCUUCACUUUGAGACUCUCACUUUGCCAUCUGAUGGAGGAUGAGUUAGAGGGAAGGCGAGGUCUCGGGCAGGAAGAGGCGACUGUGGCAGGAUUCCAAGAAUGUGGUAAGGGCCUGCACCAAGGGACUGGUAAAAAGCACUGGGGAUGUAACAGCAGUGGGACUUGAUGGUUGACUGGGCAUGAAGAGGGUGCAGCAGGGAGGGGUCUCGAGUGAUGCCGAGGUCACCAGGAUGAUGGAUGCUGGAUGAUGGGAACGUGGUGCUGUGAAGUGUCCUUAGAGGACAAAGGAGGAACGGGAGACAAGGUCCUCAACAGCAAGAGCAGUGCUGACUCCAAGGCGACCUCGGAACUUCGUGUGCGGAGCUGCGUCGCCAGGAGCCGCCCUGGCCAAAGGCAGAGGUCUGAGAAUGAGCAGCACGCGGAGGAAGUGGAGCCACGCGCACUGUCGAGUGAGAAGAGCAGAGGGCCGACGAUGGAGCAUGAAGAGGUGGACGUGUACAUAGUCUCCAAGUGUCUUCCGUACCUGACACUUUUCCUACUUGUGACAAACAAGUAACUUUACAACGGAGAGACCUGCCAGAUCCCAGCCUAACCCAAUGAUCAAAAUUAACAUCUCCCGGAAUGGGCCAAAGACCUCCUGAUACGACGCCCUGCGAAGGACACCACCUCCCUUCUGUAAUAUUCCUCCCCCAGUGCAUAAUCCGAGUCUAAUCAAGGGAACAGCAGACAAAUGUGUGCUGAAGAACAUUGUACAAAACAACAGGCCUGUGCUCUUCAAAACUGUCAAAGUUAAAAAAAACAACAAAAAAAAACCAAAAAAAAACCGAAAGGCUAAGAAACCAUUCUGGAUUAAGGGAGACGAAAGAACAAACACAAUAACUAAAGAAUUCACUGCAUGAUCCUAGAUUAGAUCCUGUAGCAAGAUUUAUAAAAGGGGGGGGGGCUUGUUUUCUUUUGCUUCAGUUGCUUUGUGGCAAUUAGCGAAAUUUGAAAUAAAAUUUAUAGUCAUUAUAGACA